rnacentral:rRNA from 1 species
UACAGAGGGUGCAAGCGUUAAUCGGAAUUACUGGGCGUAAAGCGUGCGCAGGCGGUUUGUUAAGUAGGGGGUGAAAUCCCCGGGCUCAACCUGGGAAUGGCAAUGGAUACUGGCUAGCUAGAGUGUGUCAGAGGAUGGUGGAAUUCCCGGUGUAGCGGUGAAAUGCGUAGAGAUCGGGAGGAACAUCAGUGGCGAAGGCGGCCAUCUGGGACAACACUGACGCUGAAGCACGAAAGCGUGGGGAGCAAACAGG